rnacentral:rRNA from 1 species
UACAGAGGGGGCAAGCGUUGUUCGGAAUUACUGGGCGUAAAGGGUGCGUAGGCGGUCGGGUAAGUCUGUCGUGAAAUCUCCGAGCCCAACUCGGAAACUGCGUCGGAUACUAUUCGGCUAGAGGAAUGGAGGGGAGACUGGAAUUCUCGGUGUAGCAGUGAAAUGCGUAGAUAUUCGCAAGAACACCAGUGGCGAAGGCGGCUUACUGGUCCGGAACUGACGCUGAGGUGCGAAAGCGUGGGGAGCAAACAGG